rnacentral:tRNA from 1 species
GGAGUGGUAGUUCAGUGGUAGAAUUCUAGGCUUCCAUGUGGAAGACCCAGGUUCAAUUCCUGGCCAUGCAC